GGCUCGUUGGUCUAGGGGUAUGAUUCACGCUUAGGGAGCGAGAAAUCCCGGGUUCAAAUCCCGGACGAGCCC
rnacentral:tRNA from 1 species